rnacentral:rRNA from 1 species
AUUGAACGCUGGCGGCAGGCCUAACACAUGCAAGUCGAGCGAGCGGCGGACGGGUGAGUAAUGUAUGUGUACUGCUCGAUAGGGGGGGAUAACUACUGGAAACGGUAGCUACUACCGCAUACUAUCGGAUAACCCAUAUGGGAUUAGCUAGUAGGUGAGGUAAUGGCUCACCUAGGCGACGCUCCCUAGUUGGUCUGAGAGGAUGAUCAGUCACAAUGGAACUGAGACACGGCCCAGACGCCUACGGAGGCAGCAGUGGGGAAUAUUGCACAAUGGGCGCAAGCCUGAUGCAGCCAUGCCGCGUGUAUGAAGAAGGCCCUAGGAUUGUAAAGUACUUUCAGUCGGGAGGCGUUACCGACAGAAGAAGCACCGGCUAACUCCGUGCCAGCAGCCGCGGUAAUUC